rnacentral:rRNA from 1 species
UACAGAGGGUGCAAGCGUUAAUCGGAAUUACUGGGCGUAAAGCGUGCGUAGUCGGUUAUUUAAGUCGGAUGUGAAAUCCCCGGGCUCAACCUGGGAAUUGCAUUCGAUACUGGAUAGCUAGAGUUCGGCAGAGGGAAGCGGAAUUUCUGGUGUAGCGGUGAAAUGCGUAGAUAUCGGAAGGAACAUCAGUGGCGAAAGCGACUUCCUGGACCAAUACUGACGCUCAUGUGCGAAAGCGUGGGGAGCAAACAGG